rnacentral:misc_RNA from 1 species
AGCGCUGAUGGAGCCUUCUCGAUUCCUUCGACAGUGUCUUCGACAUAGACCACUUUCCCUUCCCUUAUGUACUGGAUGACCAACUCUAAAAAUUCAGGGUAUAGGUGUUUGUGAUCUGGCUCGAGGAAUCCUUGCAUCUUGAUACGCUUUGAUAUGAGGCAAAACAAGUUGUGGACACCCUCUUGUUGGGUCAGAUUGUACUGUGAUAUUAACCCGCAGACAGCAAUUCG